rnacentral:misc_RNA from 1 species
UCAAACUUGGUCAUUUAGAGGAAGUAAAAGUCGUAACAAGGUUUCCGUAGGUGAACCUGCGGAAGGAUCAUUACUGAAGCGCUUGGAAGAUGUUGCUGGCUUCCUGCCGGAAGCAAUGUGCACUCUUUCAAUCCUCACGAUUUCCUUCACAACCCUUGUGCACUCUCUGUAGGGUCUCCUUCUUGGGCUCAUAACCUUGAGAGGGGGGAAGAAAACCCUAUGUUGUUUUUUGCUUCCACGCAUGCAUUGAAUGUAUUAUGGUAAAUAAAACAAAAUUGAAACAACUUUCAACAAUGGAUCUCUUGGCUCUCGCAUCGAUGAAGAACGCAGC